GGGCGGGGCGCUGCGGCGGCCGUGAGGAAGGGCUGGGGAGGUUCCCCGCCGGGUCGCACCGAGCCGCUUCCCUCCGCCGCCGGCCCGGCCAUGGCGUACGGUGGCCUCACGGUGCCCAUCAUCGUCAUGAGCGUUUUCUGGGGGGUGGUCGGAGGUGUCCUGCCGUGGCUCAUACCCAAGGGGCCUAACCGAGGUGUUAUCAACACAAUGCUGGUGACAUGUGCUGUUUGCUGCUACCUGUUUUGGCUGAUUGCGAUUCUGGCUCAACUCAACCCUCUCUUUGGGCCGCAGUUAAGCAAUGAAACAAUCUGGUACCUUAAAUACCACUGGCCUUAAGGAUGUCUGUCCUAUGCUGAAAUCUGUUGACUAGGAUAAUUCAGUUGUGUGGGAUCUGAAGUGAUCUGUGUGUUGCAAGCAGCAAGGUAAAACUGGAUAUGAGAUACAACUCUUGGACUCCAGCUGCCUGAUGAAAGAAUCAGGCUUUCCUUCUCCCUUUCAGUGAAGAAUUUGCCAGAGAGCUGAAGAACAGGCUGAAAAUGCACACAGAAAGCUUUCUAGUGAGGAGCUUCUACAGACAUUGGCUUGAUUGAGCUGUGCCAGAUUACAGAAGAUCGGCCUUUCUUUUAGGUAAAGAAGAGAUUUUCUUCAGAUGAAACACUCCACUGCCCAAAGAUGCCCUUAACAUAGUCGGUUGGAUACCAGGCCUGCAUUAAUGCCUUAACCUUUCUAUUGUGCUUCAAAUGGCUUGUUCAAAGCCCUGUAUUUUUUCCUUCUAUACCUUUAACAGUGUGCCUAAUGCAGUUUAUACUUCCCUUUGAUGCUGUAAAUUUUUGUCUCUUAACUUCACAUGUGAUGAAAACUUCUAAAGUUUUUAUGGGUAAUAGCUUUCCUGUUCAUUUUUCUCACUCUACUGUAUAUAUGUUACAAGCCUUAGGUUGUCUAUUGCUGUGCUGUUCACCCUGUUCUAUUUGAUUGCGAUUGGUAAAAUGUCUGCAAGAAACUCUAUGAGGAGAAGACAAACAGUGGUGCCACAUGUUGAUGGCAUUUCUUCUUUUGAAUGAGUUGUAUUCUUGGGAAAUUUGGCCUUAAGUUUCUCAUGCCUGGAAAUAAAACUAAUCUCUGCUUUAUACAUAAA